GACGAACGCUGGCGGCGUGCUUAACACAUGCAAGUCGGACGGUUUGCGCUGGAAGGUUCGCUGGAAGGCGCAGAUAGUGGCGGACGGGUGAGUAACGCGUGGAUAAUCUGCCCGAGGAUUUGGGAUAACAUCUCGAAAGGGGUGCUAAUACCGAAUAAGCCCACGGGGUCUACGGAUCUUGCGGGAAAAGGGGGGACCUUCGGGCCUCCUGUCCUUGGAUGAGUCUGCGUACCAUUAGCUAGUUGGUGGGGUAAUGGCCUACCAAGGCGACGAUGGUUAGCUGGUCUGAGAGGAUGAUCAGCCACACUGGAACUGAGACACGGUCCAGACUCCUACGGGAGCAGCAG
rnacentral:rRNA from 1 species